rnacentral:rRNA from 1 species
UACGUAGGGUCCGAGCGUUGUCCGGCAUUCCUGGGCGUAAAGAGCUCGUAGGUGGUUUGUCGCGUUGUUCGUGAAAACUCACAGCUUAACUGUGGGCGUGCGGGCGAUACGGGCAGACUGGAGUACUGCAGGGGAGACUGGAAUUCCUGGUGUAGCGGUGGAAUGCGCAGAUAUCAGGAGGAACACCGGUGGCGAAGGCGGGUCUCUGGGCAGUAACUGACGCUGAGGAGCGAAAGCGUGGGGAGCGAACAGG